rnacentral:rRNA from 1 species
UACGGGGGGGGCAAGCGUUGUUCGGAAUUACUGGGCGUAAAGGGCUCGUAGGCGGCUUACUAAGUCAGAUGUGAAAUCCCUCAGCUUAACUGGGGAACUGCGUCUGAUACUGGAUGGCUUGAGAUUGGGAGAGGGAUGCGGAAUUCCAGGUGUAGCGGUGAAAUGCGUAGAUAUCUGGAGGAACACCGGUGGCGAAGGCGGCAUCCUGGACCAACACUGACACUGAGGAGCGAAAGCCAGGGGAGCAAACGGG